rnacentral:lncRNA from 1 species
CCGAGCUGCAGACGGAGAAAACAGAUGUACAGAGUCAUUGUCAGUGCACAUCAGGAGGUUGUGAUGGAGAAAACGUACCACGCGUGCAGAAGGAGCCGGCUGACUGUCUGACAGUGAGGACAGAGGUGGCGUCCAACAGCAGAUGUAAACCCGCAGCUUUAAACUGCAGCUUUCAGGUUGAAAGUUCGACCCAAAACUGGUUGACGAUAUCUGGGUUUAGCUGCAGGUGCUUUGAGUCCAGAUGGUUCCUUUUUCCAAGCAGCAACGAUGAGCACUGGUAACGCUGGAACUGAAGCAGUCACUUCGCUCAGCAGAGAUGUAC